UUACCAAAAACAUAGCUGAAAAAAAUUCAGGGUGAAACUGCCCAAUGAUUUUUAAUUAAAUAAUAGUAAAAGUAUUAUAAUAAAAUUUAAAGGACGCGGUAACUUGACUGUGAUAAUGUAGCAUAAUCACUCGCCAUUUAAUUGAUGGAUAGUAUGAAUGGUUAAACGAAUAUUACACUGUCUCAAAAAGAGAUUUUAUAAAAUUGAAAUAAUAGUUAAGAUGCUAUUUAAAAUUGUAAGACGAAAAGACCCUAUAGAGCUUAACUAUAUUAUCUUUUAAAAAAAUGAAAAAUAAAUUCUAAAAUAAAGAUAAAGGUAGUUUAGUUGGGGCGACUAUCUUCUAAAAAUAACGAAGAUAAACAAUAUUAAUAAUAUAAUUUAUUGUAUAAUUCAUAAAUUUAACAAUUACCAAAGUAGGUUAUAGUGACCCGUUAAAAUCUAAUAAAAAAUUUAACGAUAAAUAAAUAAAAGCUACCUUAGGGAUAACAGGAUAAUUUUAUUCUAGAGAUCUAAUCGAAAAUAAAGUUU
rnacentral:rRNA from 1 species